ACUGCCGGUUACUGGGUAGAAGACCGCAAAGAGAAGAAAACCCGUCAUCGGUUAGGAUGAACAUAUCAAGGAUUAACUCUCUGGGAAACAGGAAUAUGGAUUACAACUACCUUUUUAUUGGGUAGAAUACCGAAAAUGAGAAUAUUCGUCAUCGGUUAAGAUGACCAUAUCAAGGAUAGACUCAUGUAGGGGAGGGAAAGAU
rnacentral:lncRNA from 1 species